rnacentral:lncRNA from 1 species
GGGUGUAACUCUUGAAUGCACCGUUAGAGUUCCUUGAAAUCACAUGCAAAUGAAAGCUAACAUCUGUUUUCAUCUUGUGUCAAAAUAUGAGAAAGAUCUAACGGCGGAAAGUUGUUCAUCUGAUCCCAAACAUUUGAUACUUCUACUUGAAUUUGCAUCUCCAAAUAUGUGUUUGCAUCCCAAAACGGCUCAUUUUAUUCCAAAGCAACCUAAAACCUGUAGAGAC